UACGUAGGGUGCGAGCGUAAUCGGAAUUACUGGGCGUAAAGCGUGCGCAGGCGGUGAUGUAAGACAGAUGUGAAAUCCCCGGGCUCAACCCGGGACCUGCAUUUGUGACUGCAUCGCUAGAGUACGGCAGAGGGGAUGGAAUUCCGCGUGUAGCAGUGAAAUGCGUAGAUAUGCGGAGGAACACCGAUGGCGAAGGCAAUCCCCUGGGCCUGUACUACGCUCAUGCACAAAGCGUGGG
rnacentral:rRNA from 1 species